GACGAACGCUGGCGGCGUGCUUAACACAUGCAAGUCGAACGAAAAGAGGGAAAGAGCCUGCUCUUUCCGGAAUUGAGUGGCAAACGGGUGAGUAACACGUAAACAACCUGCCUUCAGGAUGGGGACAACAGACGGAAACGACUGCUAAUACCGAAUAAGUUCCAAGAGCCGCAUGGCCCAUGGAAGAAAAGGUGGCCUCUACCUGUAAGCUAUCGCCUGAAGAGGGGUUUGCGUCUGAUUAGCUGGUUGGAGGGGUGACGGCCCACCAAGGCGACGAUCAGUAGCCGGUCUGAGAGGAUGAACGGCCACACUGGAACUGAGACACGGUCCAGACUCCUACGGGAGGCAGCAGUGGGGAAUCUUCCGCAAUGGGCGAAAGCCUGACGGAGCAACGCCGCGUGAGUGAUGACGGCCUUCGGGUUGUAAAACUCUGUGAUCCGGGACGAAAAGGCAGAGUGCGAAGAACAAACUGCAUUGACGGUACCGGAAAAGCAAGCCACGGCUAACUACGUG
rnacentral:rRNA from 1 species